UACGAAGGGGGCUAGCGUUGCUCGGAAUUACUGGGCGUAAAGGGCUCGUAGGCGGCCAACUAAGUCGGAUGUGAAAUCCCCAGGCUUAACCUGGGAACUGCAUCCGAUACUGGAUGGCUUGAAUCCGGGAGGAGGAUGCAGAAUUCCAGGUGUAGCGGUGAAAUGCGUAGAUAUCAGGAAGAACACCCGUGGCGAAGGCGGCUUUCUGGGACGGUACUGACGCUGAGACGCGAAAGCGUGGGGAGCGAACAGG
rnacentral:rRNA from 1 species